rnacentral:misc_RNA from 1 species
UUCUACUUUUCGUCUUUUCCUAUCAAUGUGGCGCUAGCUGUGAUCGAAUGACAAAUUGUAUGUAACCGCCAGCGGUUAUUUGGGUAAAAAAAAUACAGGUUGCAACAACAGUACAUGAAUUAAAAGAGCUGUUUAAAUCGAGGUAAAUACUGGCAUCCGUACAUUCGGCGGUAAAUUAUGUCAGUGUAUUGAGUAGCUGGGAGUGAUAGGGAGACAUGGCGAACAUUGCGGCGCAACGAAUCAAACGGGAGUUCAAAGAGGUUAUAAAAAGCGAAGAGGUGGCAAAAUGUGCGAUUAAGGUAGAACUAGUAAAUGAUAGCUUCACGGAAUUAAAGGGUGAAAUAGCAGGACCACCCGACACUCCAUAUGAAGGUGGCAAUUUCGUGUUAGAGAUAAAAGUACCUGAAACGUAUCCAUUCAAUCCACCCAAAGUUCGUUUUAUCACAAAAAUAUGGCAUCCAAAUAUAUCCUCGGUUACAGGCGCCAUAUGUUUGGACAUAUUAAAAGACCAAUGGGCUGCUGCGAUGACCUUAAGAACAGUUUUGUUAUCGUUACAAGCCUUAUUGUCAGCUGCUGAGCCUGAUGAUCCACAAGACGCUGUGGUUGCUAAGCAGUAUAAGGAGCAGCCUGAAAUGUUUCGUCAGACUGCAAAACAUUGGACGUCUGUGUAUGCUGGUGGACCAGCUAAGAUGUCAGAUCUCGAUGACAAGAUAAGAAGAUUGACUGAUAUGGGGAUCGAAGAACAUAAUGCACGAGUAGCCUUAUCCUCCUACAAUUGGGACUUAGAACGUGCCACCGAACAGCUAUUCAUGACGCUUAUGGCGAAAAAUUGAACAUAGCUAUUUAAUGAAAAUAUAUUUCUUAGAAAACUUGGAGUGUAAGACGGCAGUGUGGUACGACAGGAUAUCGCAUGGUCGGUCCCGUGCACGUUUGCUAAGUGAUGUUGUAUACGUUUCACGUAAUGGAACAUUUGAUUAAUUUAAUCUACAUCCUAUCUUACUUCGAUUGUAAUUCUAAGAGUAAAGUUCUAUUGCCAGGUGUGAAAUCUUACCUGCAUACGAUGUACUCCAAUUAAUUGAAAAUUGAUAGUUAUGUUUCAUAAUAUUUCAUGCAUUUUUCAAUCAUUCACAAUGUGCAGGCUGUGUCUGAAGUGUCGCCAGCAAGAGUCAAGGUCCAACUACUCGCAAACCAGUUUGUUAACUUGGGACAAAUGGUUGGGAUCUGUGAAUUUGAAUUUACAGGAAAACAAAAAAAAAACUCUGCUCUGUUCAUAUUGGGAAAUUUAGGAUUUAUACCAUUUAAUAAGAUCAAUGUACAUUAAUAGGCCUCAAAUAUUAAUAAAAGUAAUUUUUUUUCAA